UACGUAGGUGGCAAGCGUUAUCCGGAAUUAUUGGGCGUAAAGCGCGCGCAGGUGGUUUCUUAAGUCUGAUGUGAAAGCCCACGGCUCAACCGUGGAGGGUCAUUGGAAACUGGGAGACUUGAGUGCAGAAGAGGAAAGUGGAAUCCAUGUGUAGCGGUGAAAUGCGUAGAGAUAUGGAGGAACACCAGUGGCGAAGGCGACUUUCUGGUCUGUAACUGACACUGAGGCGCGAAAGCGUGGGGAGCAAACAGGG
rnacentral:rRNA from 1 species